CUUGUUGCCAUCUUCAUACAACGAACAAACCUGGGGAAUAAAUUGAAAUAUGAUGAGCGUGUUUAGGAUUGUUUACCCUCGCCACCGGAAUAAUUACCAUAUGUAUGGAGCGAGCAUGAGUGGAACUACUUUUGUUUGUUCAGAGUCCCGCAAUACAAGAUCUCAGCUCAAAGACCUGAUGAAAAACGACUAAAGUAAAGACAUUGGACACUCUACAAGCACUGCUCAUUCUACAAGACCAUUUAGACGCAGACUGAAACUUAAGUGGAUGAACACUAAUGAAUGGCGAUGUUGUAUAAUAAUUUGAAAUUAACGCAUUUAAGCUGUAUAAUCAAUUAUACGUACGUCAUUUUAAAUUCAAAAAUAACAAUGUCGUUGAUUAAUAUUGUUUCAACUCGAUACAAACUAUUUGUUUUCAUGUAAAUGAAAUGUAUAUAUUUAUCAAAUAUAAUUUAUCAAACUGUAUCAAAAUUACUAAGAUAAUGUUGAGGACAACAUUUUUAAAGAGGAGAGUAAUAUUCAUAUGUGUAAAAUAUAGUCAAUAUUAAACAUAAAUUUUUCGUUAAAGAAAGUGUUAUUAUUCGUAUAUUCCUUUAUAAAGUCCCAGAAUGAAAUUUUCCAUUAAUAUAUGCCUAUAAAAAUAAGUUAUAUACAGACGUAAACCGUAAAACAAUUUUUACUAAUUAUCACUUACUUUAUACUAUACAUCUUCUCUAUUAUUUUGUAAAUAAGUAUAUAUAUGUUAUCUGCAUAACGAUAGACAUCGCUUUUGCAGUACAUGAUAUAUACUGAAUUUAAUAUUCAUAUAUCAUUUAUAAAUUAGUAUUUAAUAAACAUAUUUACUUAUUACAGAGUUAUUCAUUUUCCCGAUUAAUUUCGUUUCCAUAACGCACCCUAGCCUACCAUGAAUUUAUAAAAAGAAGCUGAGCUAACCUACCGGCGAGAUGCUCUCCCUCUUGAGAGAAAACGAAACUAUGUGUUACCUGUAGUGCUAGGUGUAGAUGGUGUAGUUACGGGUGCCUGUGUCACGUGUACAGUUAGUCUCUCUGAAAUUAAUUUAAAUUCUUUGAGAAAAUGUCUUAUAUCUCCCUAGAUAUAU